rnacentral:rRNA from 1 species
GACGAACGCUGGCGGCGUGCCUAAUACAUGCAAGUCGAACGAGAGCGACCGGUGCUUGCACUGGUCAAUCUAGUGGCGAACGGGUGAGCAACACGUGGGUAACCUGCCCAUCAGAGGGGGAUAACAUCCGGAAACGGAUGCUAAAACCGCAUAGGUCUUCGAGCCGCAUGGCUUGAAGAGGAAAAGAGGCGCAAGCUUCUGCUGAUGGAUGGACCCGCGGUGCAUUAGCUAGUUGGUGAGGUAACGGCUCACCAAGGCCGUGAUGCAUAGCCGACCUGAGAGGGUGAUCGGCCACAUUGGGACUGAGACACGGCCCAAACUCCUACGGGAGGCAGCAGUAGGGAAUCUUCCGCAAUGGACGCAAGUCUGACGGAGCAACGCCGCGUGAGUGAAGAAGGUUUUCGGAUCGUAAAACUCUGUUGUUAGAGAAGAACAAGUGCUAGAGUAACUGUUAGCGCCUUGACGGUAUCUAACCAGAAAGCCACGGCUAACUACGUGCCAGCAGCCGCGGUAAUACGUAGGUGGCAAGCGUUGUCCGGAUUUAUUGGGCGUAAAGCGAGCGCAGGCGGUUCCUUAAGUCUGAUGUGAAAGCCCCCGGCUCAACCGGGGAGGGUCAUUGGAAACUGGGGAACUUGAGUGCAGAAGAGGAGAGUGGAAUUCCAUGUGUAGCGGUGAAAUGCGUAGAUAUAUGGAGGAACACCAGUGGCGAAGGCGACUCUCUGGUCUGUAACUGACGCUGAGGCUCGAAAGCGUGGGUAGCAAACAGG